AUAAUACUCCAUCCGUUCGGAAUUACUUGUCUCGGAAAUGGAUGUAUCUAGAACUAAAAUACGUCUAGAUACAUCCAUUUGUGCGACAAGUAAUUCCGAACGGAGGGAGUAGUAA
rnacentral:pre_miRNA from 1 species